UAAUACCGGGGUGCUUGUUGAAAGAGCAGUCGGCACUGUAAUAGGAAACCACCGCAUGUUUCUACGUCACCGUGAAAAGGUUCCGGCUGCGACCGGAUGUUUUCCUCCGGGGAGACGGAAGUGACGGUGGUGAUGUCAUCCGAAGCGGGAGGUGUAGCAGCGGCGAUGGGGCUAGAAGCUUGGGCCGAAAAUCCGGCUAGGGUGUGCGUGAUGCUGUCCAGGCGGCGGAAUAACUCCUGUUGAGCAGCGGACAUUUGUGAGAGGGCAUCAGACUGACGACUGAGCAACAUACCUUGUUGAGCGAUGGCAAGGCGGAGUCCCUCCGGGUCAGCUGAGUCGGAGGAAAGGCUAGUUCGUUCUGUCAUGAUUAGCAAGCGUGGUCGACUCAGGUGCUGGAACCCGGAAGGAGGCUCGGCAGGCAGUGAGAUUGUCCAAGGAGUGGUUGGAGGGUAUUGUUGGCAGCAACCGCGUGAUCCGAGACUGGGGUUGGAGAACGUCCGAGCGAGACGGCGAGAGGUGACCCGUGAUCAGGUAUG